CACGUAGGGCGCGAGCGUUGUCCGGAAUUAUUGGGCGUAAAGAGCUCGUAGGCGGCCUGUUGCGUCCGCUGUGAAAGCCCGGGGCUUAACCCCGGGUCGGCAGUGGAUACGGGCAGGCUAGAGGUAGGUAGGGGAGAAUGGAAUUCCCGGUGUAGCGGUGAAAUGCGCAGAUAUCGGGAGGAACACCGGUGGCGAAGGCGGUUCUCUGGGCCUUACCUGACGCUGAGGAGCGAAAGCGUGGGGAGCGAA
rnacentral:rRNA from 1 species